UUGUCAAACUAAGAUGUUUAGACCACAACAUCAGUAUGAAGGUUGUCUGAGUUAAAAGAUUUCAGGAGUUUCCGAAUAAAGUGGUUGAUCUUCGGGGGAUUUAUCAUAUAAUCCAGACAAAUGCGGAGCUGCCUCCUUUGCUCUCAUGUGAGAGGGGAAGAGUUGGUAUGAAUAAAAGUGAUAACUUGGAUCCAAGAACGGGGAAAUCACGUACAACAAUCAAAGAGCCUAAACUCCUAAGAAGUCACCAGCCCAACAGCAUAAAAGGAGCCGAGACAGAAAUCAUUCUUCUAUAGUUGUUAAAAAAAAAGACAGAUUUCAUUCUUCCAACGCCACCGGAGACAUCUCAGUGACAACUCGAAGCGAGGAAAGAAAAUGAUGCAGCUUCAAGUCUUACUUAUAUAAUCAGCCUACUGGAUCUGCGAGCUAUGUCAGACAAACUGAACUUUUUCUGGCCGCAAGUUGAUUUAGAUUUCGAAGACUAUUAAAAAUAGAAAGAGUUAAAAAUGGGAGAAAAAUAACUACCAUUAGUUUUUAGCCAUUCAUACACUUCUCACCAUAUGUAAAUUGCAAAUUUGUCCCAGUUGUG